rnacentral:rRNA from 1 species
ACACGCAAGUCGACUCGAGUCUUCGGACUUGGGUGGCGCACGGGUGAGUAACGCGUAAAGAACUUGCCUCUUAGACCGGGACAACAUCUGGAAACGGAUGCUAAUACCGGAUAUUAUGGUUUUUUCGCAUGGAGGAAUCAUGAAAGCUAGAUGCGCUAAGAGAGAGCUUUGCGCCCCAUUAGCUGGUUGGUGAGGUAACGGCCCACCAAGGCAAUGAUGGGUAGCCGGCCUGAGAGGGUGAACGGCCACAAGGGGACUGAGACACGGCCCUUACUCCUACGGGAGGCAGCAGUGGGGAAUAUUGGACAAUGGACCGCAAGUCUGAUCCAGCAAUUCUGUGUGCACGAUGACGUUUUUCGGAAUGUAAAGUGCUUUCAGUCGGGAAGAAGUCAGUGACGGUACCGACAGAAGAAGCGACGGCUAAAUACGUGCCAGCAGCCGCGGUAAUACGUAUGUCGCAAGCGUUAUCCGGAUUUAUUGGGCGUAAAGCGCGUCUAGGCGGCAAGGAAAGUCUGAUGUGAAAAUGCGGAGCUCAACUCCGUAUGGCGUUGGAAACUGCCUUACUAGAGUACUGGAGAGGUAGGCGGAACUACAAGUGUAGAGGUGAAAUUCGUAGAUAUUUGUAGGAAUGCCGAUGGGGAAGCCAGCCUACUGGGCAGAUACUGACGCUAAAGCGCGAAAGCGUGGGUAGCAAACAGG